UACAGAGGGUGCGAGCGUUAAUCGGAAUUACUGGGCGUAAAGCGUACGUAGGUGGUUAUUUAAGUUAGGUGUGAAAUACCCGAGCUCAACUUGGGGAGGUCAUCUAAAACUGGGUAACUAGAGUACAGUAGAGGGAAGUGGAAUUUCCGGUGUAGCGGUGAAAUGCGUAGAUAUCGGAAGGAACACCAGUGGCGAAGGCG
rnacentral:rRNA from 1 species